CUAGUCUUUCCCCGUUCUACU
rnacentral:miRNA from 1 species